rnacentral:tRNA from 11 species
AAGGCGAUGGAUUGCUAAUCCAUUGCUCUUUGAACGCGAGAGUUCGAAUCUCUCCGAU